CUGUAAAAUCAAAACUGAAACAGAACGCAACUGCUGUUGAUGUACUGUCCUGGUGUGCAAGGGCUGCAGACAGCAAUCCUCUGGUUUGUGUAUGUGUCUAGCUGGGCAGUGCUAGACGGAGAAAGGGACCAUUGAUACAAUG